ACGCUCGACACCUACGGGAGGCAGCAGUUGGGAAUAUUGGACAAUGGAGGAAACUCUGAUCCAGUGACGCCGCGUGAAGGAAGAAGGUCUUCGGAUUGUAAACUUAUUUUGUCAGGGAAGAAAAAUGACUGUACCUGAAGAAAAAGCACCGGCUAACUACGUGCCACAGCCGCGGUAAUCUGAGCGGGCGUGGCGAAGGCG
rnacentral:rRNA from 1 species